GUUAUGUGGAGGUCGACUGGGUAUUUCUCAAUGUUUCGCCCGACUGGUCUUCAACUAGUCGACUGGACAACCCAGUCGCUCGACUAUGCUUUAAUUUUAAAUAAAACAACAGCCCAGCAAAAAGCCCGAUACCCAGUUAAAUAAAACCCUAGAAACGAAUGCCCAGCAGCGUGGUUAGUCGCUGUUAGUCGCUUCUCCCGACUCCAAAUCAGAUUCCUCUCCUCUUCUUCUCUCCAGGUAAGCUCUACAAUCUGCAUCCUCUCCUCUUACACACACACACUUGUAUAUAUACACAGUUACACGCACACACACUUAUAUACAUACACAAAAACACAGUUAUACAAACUUAUGUAAACACUAUUAUACACACUGAUACACACACAUACUUGUAUACACACACACACACACACACACACACACUUAUAUAUACACUAAUCAGUAGUCACUAGUUGUUGGCUUGUUGCAGUAGCUAUUUUCUAAUGUCAGUACACACACACACUUGUAUAAUCUGCAGAAUGGCUGAGGCAUCUAACGAGGCUGUUUAUGAUCCGUCUAAUGACCCCAAAAGGAAGGCCCGAUCUAUUGAUCCGGCCUGAAAAUAUGGAUUUUGGCCAGAUUUAAAUAAUGACCCCAAAAGGAAGGCCGGAUUUGUGGGAUGCCGUAGAUGAAGCUUUGGAUGCAUCAAAAAAUCUUAAGGUUCGUCGUAGUCGUAGGCGGGCUAGUGCAUCUUCUCAAGUGGAAGAUGAUGUUGAGAUGGAAGGAGAGGGGACACCAAUUAUAUUGAAUGACGAUGAUUUUGGUUAUGAACCAAACACUAAUAGUGAGAGAAAUGAUGAGAUACGCGCAAGAGAUAAUAUUUUGGAUCUCUAUGAUGAUGAUAUCUAAAUUCUGCCAUUCGUCCACUGCUUAGAUUUGCAAUUCUUCCCACUGCCCAGAUUUGUUAUUCUGCACACUCAGAUUCUGCACUUAAAAGGGUCUAGAAUUCUGCGGUUUUAAACUGCCCAGAAUUCUGCAGUUUUAAACUGCCAAUGC
rnacentral:lncRNA from 1 species